rnacentral:lncRNA from 1 species
UGCCUGACUCAUGUGAACAUGAGUUCCGUGAGGUCAUGCUUGUCCUUAAUGCCAUAUCCUUAAGUUACCAGGCAAUGCCUACAAUAGAAUAAAACCUCAUCCAGUAUUUAUUGAAUAAUUUAAAUGUACAGUCUUGAACACAAAUAGUAGCUUAUUUGCACUGAUCCAAAAAGUUCCUUCUCAGUAUUGUGUAGGAAAUGCAGCUAUAGACAUGAAAAAAGGGCAAAGCAAAAUUUAAAUUUGGGCGAAGGACUUUUUUUUCUUAGGAGUCUCAGUCUGAACAGCCCCUGAAAACUCACAAUGGGGCCUUUGUUCAUUCCUCUUCCAUCUUCUAGGGGUUUCAGGGCUUCUCUCCACCCCCAAAGCCUUCUACUUUUAAGUCCUAGCUUUCAAAGUCUGUGCUGUUACUCUGCUGCUCCAGCUAAGCUCGGCACUCUGCACUCCCAAGGCUUUUACAGCCAGAGCUUCACAGGUACAGCAUGGCUAGUAGCCACUGUGAGUGGUUGCUUAUGCCCACUGACCUUCAGCAGUCUGAGCUUCCGCAAGGCGCAAAAAUUGAAAAGCAACAUGGACUGCGAUAGGACAAUGAAGAUCGUUCCUCCCAGGAAGAAAUCCUCAGUCUCCCGCUCUAUAAAUACCCCAGCACUUCCUCUUCGCUCUCUCUCUGCCUUCCUGCCUCCUGCUCGCCUCCCUACAAUAAAGAUCUCCUGCUGGACCUCUUGGUGCUUGAGUGGCCUAAUUGGGAAGGGGCACCCGAAGGGGCACGCGACCCCUCUUUCAGGACAGUUGCCAUAUUUUUAGUCCAUGCCUUUUUAAUUAUAAUUUUAUAGCGCAUGCAGUUGUGUAAGAGUCUAACUGAACUAGAGAGACUCCAUGUUGACCAGCAAACGACCUAGAGACUGUUGCUCCCCCCAUCCCUUAUAGGAUAACUAAUGAUUAAUUAUGAAUUGUUAGGUAACUGCUUAGAAGUAGCUGGGAAACUAGUGAACAUAGAGACCCAACAUCAGUCACGCCACUCCUUACUUGCCUGUAGUUGAAUGUUCUGAACAUCACAAACUAAGUUGUAAAUGGAACAAUGGAUAAUCAAUCUGCUGAUCAUUAGUACAUAAUGGUCGAGUAUAUGACUGAUGACCAUCAGUUCAGAUCAACUCAUUCUUUGCCUUUGUCCCCUUCCUGUAAGUUUUGAGUGUAAACCCCCCUCCAUAGCCCUAUAUAAAAUAGCCUCUGUUUCUGAGCUAGCUGCCUCUCUGAGCUGCUUGGCUCUGGGAGUGCCGUCUGGCCAGACUAAUAAAGGUCUAUUUGCCAAUCUGCCUGGUGUGUUCCUGGGUGACUUGCUGUCCGACAAGCUCCUGGAGCCUCGCUGAGCUUUUGGGCCCAACAUCGUGAAGGCCUCUUGGCUGCCAUGCUCCAAGAGUAAAAGUGAGACUUUAAGUCUUACAGUUGCUUUAUUUAGAAUUUUAAGAAUGAAAACAUAGAUUAUCUGGAUCAGAACUCUCCUACAAAGAUUUUACUUCCUACAAGGUAAUGUGCCCAUGCUCAGGCCCCCAAAUAGGAGGAGAGCAAGGUUAGACUAAAGACAGCAAAGGCUCACAGAAAAAGCUUGCAGGCUCUAACCACUAACCUUAAAAGGUAC